GCGCGGCAGCGGGGGUGGGAGCUGCGGACGGCCAUGUGCGCGGCGGAGAGGCCGGGUGGCCACCGAACCUUCCCGCCUGUUCUGCGUGGCUCACACCUGUAAUCCCAGUGCUUUGGGAGGCCGAGGCAGAUGGAUCACUUGAGGCCAGGAGUUCCAGACCAGCCUGGCCAACACGGCGAAACCCCAUCUCUACUAAAAAUACAAAAAAUUAGCCAGGCCUGGUGGUGCACGCUUGUAAUCCCAGGUACUUGGGAGGCUAAGGCAGGAGGAUCACUUGAACCCAGGGGAGGCUGCAGUGAGCUGAGAUCGUGCCACUGCACUCCAGCUUGGGCAACAGAGCAAGACUCCAUCUUAAAAAGAAGAAAGAAAGAACUUCUAUUUUUUAAAUGUUUUUUCCUUUCAUUGAACUCCAUUUAUAGCCUUUCCAUUCAGAGCAUAAAGAUUAAAUUUUAAAACAAGGCUUGGCACCCUGGCUUAUGCCUGUAAUCCCAGCACUUUGUGAGGCCAAGGUGGGCGGAUCACCUGAGCUCAGAAGUUUGAGUCCAGCCUGGCUAACAUGGUGAAACCCCAUCUCUAAAAGAGUACACAGUCCUAGAGCAGUGGUGUGCGCCUGUAGUCCUAGCUACCUGGGAGGCUGAACCAGGAGAAUUGCUUGAGCCUGGGAGGCAGAGGUUGCAGUGAGCCAAGAUCGCACCAUUACACUCCAGCCUGGGUGACAGAGAGAGACCCUGUGCCCCUCAAAAAAAUGUUUUUUUUAAACAAGAAUCUCUCAGGCAUACUGAAAUGUUGAAGAGGAAAUUAUAUUAAUAUCUGGGACUUGUUUCCAAAUUUGGAAUUGGGGCAGGGUGUAAAUUGUUGGCAAUAUCAAAGAAACGAGGAGUUGGAAUGAUAAUUGUAGAAGCUGCAUGAUAGAUACACAUUCUUUAUACUUCUGUAUAUGUUGAAAUUUUUUAUCAAAUUAUAAUUGUGUAUAAUGACUAAUUAUGCUUUCAUUGUCUAUUCUGUGUGGUUAUGUUACUUGCUGAAAUUAAUACAUAAAGAGUCUUCAACUUAAAUGACUUAUCAAGCAUAAAUAUUAAAAUACUGGAUGUUACUACA
rnacentral:lncRNA from 1 species